GAGGGGCUUUGGUGCCAAAAUUGCUCUGCAAUUCGGGCUGUCCAGGAAGAUGUUUUGAGGCAAAGAUGAUCUAAACGUCUUCAACUUCCUCACACUUCCAUGACCAAAAUUAGUGCUCAGAAGAGACACCACUCUCUUAAACUUAGACACAGCCUCUCCAGUUUCCAUCAUCAAGUUCCUAGACAGAACUUGAUCUCUGGGUUGACACAGGAGGCCAAUAACUCUAUGGCAGCUCUCAACCGCUGCCUUGUUUACCUCCU
rnacentral:misc_RNA from 1 species